UGUCCGACUUGGUUGUCGUCUCAUAGCGGAAGGAAAAGAAACAACAGGGGAUUGCCUCAGUAACGGCGAGUGAAGCGGCAACAGCUCAAAUUUGAAAUCUGGCCCUUUCAGGGUCCGAGUUGUAAUUUGUAGAGGAUGCUUCGGCGAGGGCUCCCGUCUAAGUUCCCUGGAACGGGACGUCAUAGAGGGUGAGAAUCCCGUAUGUGAUGGGUUGCUCGAGCCAUGUGAAGCUCCUUCGACGAGUCGAGUUGUUUGGGAAUGCAGCUCUAAAUGGGAGGUAAAUUUCUUCUAAAGCUAAAUACCGGCCAGAGACCGAUAGCGCACAAGUAGAGUGAUCGAAAGAUGAAAAGCACUUUGGAAAGAGAGUUAAAAAGUACGUGAAAUUGUUGAAAGGGAAGCGCUUGCAACCAGACUUGUCCGCAGUUGUUCAGCCGGUCUCCUGACCGGCGUACUCUUCUGCGGCCAGGCCAGCAUCAGUUCGGGCGGCUGGAUAAAGGCCUCGGGAAUGUGGCUCUCUUCGGGGAGUGUUAUAGCCCGGGGCGGAAUGCAGCCAGCCUGGACUGAGGAUCUCGCUUCGGCAAGGAUGCUGGCGUAAUGGUUGUAAGCGGCCCGUCUUGAAACACGGACCAAGGAGUCUAACAUCUAUGCGAGUGUUUGGGUGUCAAACCCAUACGCGUAAUGAAAGUGAACGGAGGUGGGAACCCGCAAGGGCGCACCAUCGACCGAUCCUGAUGUCUUCGGAUGGAUUUGAGUAAGAGCAUAGCUGUUGGGACCCGAAAGAUGGUGAACUAUGCCUGAAUAGGGUGAAGCCAGAGGAAACUCUGGUGGAGGCUCGCAGCGGUUCUGACGUGCAAAUCGAUCGUCAAAUUUGGGUAUAGGGGCGAAAGACUAAUCGAACCAUCUAGUAGCUGGUUCUGAUAGUUUUUUUUUCUUGUAAGAAAAA
rnacentral:rRNA from 1 species